CCUACGGGAGGCUGCAGUGGGGAAUAUUGCGCAAUGGGCGAAAGCCUGACGCAGCGACGCCGCGUGAGGGAUGAAGGUCUUCGGAUCGUAAACCUCUGUCAGCAGGGAAGCACGGUCACUGUGCUAAUCAGCAGUGAAUUGACGGUACCUGCAAAGGAAGCACCGGCGAACUCCGUGCCAGCAGCCGCGGUAAUACGGAGGGUGCGAGCGUUAAUCGGAAUUACUGGGCGUAAAGCGCUCGUAGGCGGUAUGUCAAGUCAAGGGUGAAAUCCCCGCGCUCAACGUGGGAACUGCCUUUGAAACUGGCAGACUGGAGUGUGUGAGAGGAUAGUGGAAUUCGAGGUGUAGGAGUGAAAUCCGUAGAUAUCUGGAGGAACAUCAGUGGCGAAGGCGACUAUCUGGCACAUAACUGACGCUGAGGAGCGAAAGCGUGGGUAGCAAACAGGAUUAGAUACCCGAGUAGUC
rnacentral:rRNA from 1 species